rnacentral:misc_RNA from 1 species
GAUGAAGAACGCAGCGAGAUGCGAUAAGUAAUGUGAAUUGCAGAAUUCAGUGAAUCAUCGAAUCUUUGAACGCACAUUGCGCCCGCUGGUAUUCCGGCGGGCAUGCCUGUUCGAGCGUCAUUUCAACCCUCAAGCUCUCCGGAGUUUGGUGUUGGGGCGCCUGGGGCUUUUCGACCUCAGGGCCCUCAAGUCCAUCGGCGGGACCGCCAGGACACUGAGCGCAGUAGUAUUAUUUCGCUCGGUAGGAUCUUCCACGGCGGGUCGAUCUGGCCGCUAAACCCCCCAAUUCUCACCAAAGGUUGACCUCGGAUCAGGUAGGAAUACCCGCUGAACUUAAGCAUAUCAAUAAGCGGAGGA